rnacentral:tRNA from 1 species
GGGAAUGUGGCUUAGUGGUAGAGUGUUUGCCUUGCAUGCAUGAAGCCCUGGGUUCGAUUCCUCAGUACCA